UCUGCCACUGCCUCGGAAGCCUUUAUUAAGUGAGGCAACAUUAAACGCGCGACAAGACAGUUUGUUUCUCUGUUCCGUAGAGCUGUUUGAUGCAAAUCGACAUGAGAUUCCGUCUUGUUCUGCUUGCUAUUGUGGUUGCAGCCUCCGUCAGUGCAGGAAAGGUUAAACGAAGCAAUGAUUAUUUAAUCGAUUCAGCAAACCUCGGAGGCACGGUUACAUUUGGGGAGCGCGGUAUAUCAGACUGCUUGGCUGAGGGACACCCGGAGUGGAAGUGUUACACGGAACGUUCCGGCUUCAAUCCCCAGUGGCGGUAGCGUACAUGAGAUGGUAAUUAGUUUUAUUUAGAUCUAAGAUAUUAAGAAAUGUAAUUUAAGUAUAUGACUUAAUCUGA